rnacentral:rRNA from 1 species
CGAAGAACCUUACCAGGCCUUGACAUGCAGAGACUUUCCAGAGAUGGAUUGGUGCCUUCGGGAACUCUGACACAGGUGCUGCAUGGCUGUCGUCAGCUCGUGUCGUGAGAUGUUGGGUUAAGUCCCGUAACGAGCGCAACCCUUGCCUUUAGUUGCCAGCAGUUCGGCUGGGCACUCUAAAGGGACUGCCGGUGUUAAACCGGAGGAAGGUGGGGAUGACGUCAAGUCCUCAUGGCCUUUAUGACCAGGGCUACACACGUACUACAAUGGCCGAUACAAAGGGCAGCGACACUGCGAGGUGAAGCCAAUCCCGUAAAAUCGGUCUCAGUCCGGAUUGGAGUCUGCAACUCGACUCCAUGAAGUUGGAAUCGCUAGUAAUCGUGGAUCAGCAUGCCACGGUGAAUACGUUCCCGGGCCUU